UGUGUUGCUUACCGACGCGACGGAAUUCGAUCGUAUCGUUGCCGUUCUCCGCCCGACGCCCUCUUGACGGGGUGCGGGGCGGACGACAGGCGCGCUGCGCGUUCCUGGCGUGCCUCGCGUUGUUGCGGGGCCGUCGAGGCCCGCGGAGCCGUUGCCCGUUCUCUCGGAUGCGGAACGUCACGCGUGGGCGCGUGGGCUUCGACCCUCGCUCGCCCGCCCGGGCUGGCUAUGCGUUUGUCCCUUGACGCGAACGACCGUCGCGACCGUCUUGAUCCCGUAGCGGCCCGCAUGGCGCCGGACGGGGCUCAUGCGGUCGUCGACGUCGUCGAGGAAUGCUACCUGGUUGAUCCUGCCAGUAGUCAU
rnacentral:misc_RNA from 2 species